UGUGGGAGCUGGCUUGCCUGCGAAAGCGAUCUAUCAGUCAUAUUUCUGGUGACUGGUGCACCGCCAUCGCAGGCAAGCCAGCUCCCACU
rnacentral:misc_RNA from 1 species